GGAUGUGAGGGCGAUCUGGCUGCAACAUCUGUCACCCCUUUGAUCUCUAGGGUUGAUUCGGCUGAUCUGGCUGGCUAGGCGGGUGUCCCCUUCCUCCCUCACCCCUCCAUGUGUGUCCCUCCUGAAGCUGCAUGCUCUGUCAAAGAGGACGACCACCCUCGAUAGAGGACUGUUCUUCAGUCAAGGGUAGCUGUGCUCCCCUGCUAGAACCUCCCAACAAGCUCUCAUGGCAUUGGGUGAGAGAGAGGCCUGUGGGGAGAUCCUUU
rnacentral:snRNA from 1 species